AUUGAACGCUGGCGGCAGGCCUAACACAUGCAAGUCGAACGAGUGGCGGACGGGUGAGUAAUGUCUGGGAAACCGCCCGUUGGAGGGGGAUAACUACUGGAAACGGUAGCUAAUACCGCAUACCAUCGGAUGUGCCCCGAUGGGAUUAGCUAGUUGGUGGGGUAACGGCUCACCUAGGCGACGAUCCCUAGCUGGUCUGAGAGGAUGACCAGCCACACUGGAACUGAGACACGGUCCAGACUCCUACGGGAGGCAGCAGUGGGGAAUAGUGCACAAUGGGGGAAACCCUGAUCCAGCCAUCCCGCGUGUGCGAUGAAGGCCUUCGGGUUGUAAAGCACUUUUGGCAAGAAAGCGGUACCUGCAGAAUAAGCACCGGCUAACUACGUGCCAGCAGCCGCGGUAAUUC
rnacentral:rRNA from 1 species